rnacentral:rRNA from 1 species
GAGUUUGAUCGUGGCUCAGGACGAACGCUGGCGGCGUGCCUAACACAUGCAAGUCGAACGGAGAUAAGCGCUGAUGAUUUAGCUUGCUAGAGAUUCUUGCUUAUCUUAGUGGCGGACGGGUGAGUAACGCGUGAGCAACCUGCCUUUCAGAGGGGGAUAACGUCUUGAAAAGGACGCUAAUACCGCAUGAUAUUAUGGAGCCACAUGGCUCUAUAAUCAAAGGAGCAAUCCGCUGAAAGAUGGGCUCGCGUCCGAUUAGGUAGUUGGCGGGAUAACAGCCCACCAAGCCGACGAUCGGUAGCCGGACUGAGAGGUUGAACGG